GGGGGACUGAGGACCAAAGUGGACACAUCUGAGAGCAUCAUUGCUGACUCCGUACAAGGGCCCGAUAGAAACGCAGAAAAAAAUUCAUCUGGAAAAUUCAUUACGUGCUAAAGUUGAGGACAUUUUUCUUCAGAGCCUGCUUUGCUUCCGAAACAGAUCCCGCCAUGUCGGGCUAUAGCAUACGAGUGUGGUGGGGAAGUCUGUUUUUGUCUUUGGUUAUCUAGCUGUAUGAGUGUAAAUACGUGUCAUAAAGCUAGAUAACCGAAAGUAGAAAUGACUUCCAUAACGUUGUGUCCAUUCCCGAAAGACAGGGGACUCCUCGGGCUUUAAACUCACUAAGGUGGAUUUUGAAUAUCACCUCAAAAAGGCUUUUUGACGAACACUGGGAUUCCUGAAAAGUAGUAGAACAACAAGGAGUGAGGGGAGAAAAAAAGGUUGGUCCACAAUUGCCACCUCUUCCUCCUCCUCCUCCUCCCUCCUCUUCCCACCCUCGUCCUUUUUUACCCAGAAGCUUCUAAUGCCAUCUGUACUGCCAACGGGGGACACUUUUUCCAUGCCAGGAGGCGGACAAAGUCCCUGCUGGAUCCCCGGAGUAUGAGCAUACUCAGAGGAGCCAUCUUGGGAGAUGUUGCCACGACACCUAAAAUGGCUGGGCUGGCAUACAAGGAUGGGACAGGAUCUGCAAGAGUCUCUGCACCCGGCAGGAACCUCGCCAGAAUAUGAAGAGACUAUCAGUAAACUAAGCAGUGCAAGAAAUGUAAAAAAAAAAAAAAAAAAAA